rnacentral:misc_RNA from 1 species
GUGAUUUUAUAUUUUAAAUUUAUGAUAAACCGGAUCUAGGUAAGAAUUUUCCUUUAUUCACCAUCUUUACCCUUUCUUUUUUCCCUAUCGCGUGUGAAUGCAAUUGUAGAAUCUUUCAGUGACUUCUUCUUUACUUUCUCUUCUCUUUUUAUAUAUGUAUAUGGUCAUAGGUUCUCAUGCAUAUGUGCUAGCUAUCAAGAAUCAAGAUUUUCCCUCUUCUUCACUUUGAAGAUCUUCUAUGUUUGAUCAUUUUGAUUCUUUAAUGAAAAUAAUCUAACAUAAAGGUAAAGAAUUAAAAGAAGAUAAAGAAUAAUUAAAGAAAGAUGAGAAAUCUUAUUCUCUGAUGUAAACCCCCCACACCUUUCAUUAAUAAAGCUAAUUAAAAUUUUCCCUC